AGCCUGGCCUCUAGGUUGUGUUACAUGUAUGACCUCAGGUGGUCGUGGGACAUCUCUGAGCUCCGGUUUUAUCAACCUGGGAAUGAAAAGUAUUGGUCACUUACUUCCUGGGGUUGCUCUGAGGCUGAGUAAAGUUAGAGAAUUUCUUGGUACUUGUAUGGUGCUGAGGAAGCUCCAUUGUCCCUUUACCCAGCAUCCUUCAUGGCAAAGAGAAUGUGCCUGCUGACACCUCUUUCAGCCUCUGUUUCAGCCUCUGCCUCAGUCCUUGCCAGAGACGUCAGGCUUAGCACAGAGCAGCUGGGAGCCUUCAGCAGAGAAGGAAGGCACCACUUAGACAUCUGCACGGGCAGUUUUUAAACAUAGGGAACAUGAAGGAAAUACCACAGAAUUUAUGGAGUGAAAGCUUUAAAAAGAAACACAAGUCUGAAGUCAAAACAGUUGACUCAAUUCUAGGGGAGAUGUCUGCCUGGAAGUAGGAGUGGGGGAAAAAGACUUGGAGUGAGUGGAGACAGGGUAAGCAAAGCUCUGUGGGGAGCCCUACAAAGUGGGGCAAGUGGGCACCUCCCCGCAUGGCUCGAGACGGAAAGUCGGUCCUGCCUGUACACAGGGUAGCACUUACCAGCAUUUUGGAAACACACAUCUUUGGGCCCAGCUGUUCCACUUUUAAGAAUGUCGCUUGAGAUAGCCUCAUGCAAGGGCACAAUAAUAUAUACAAGGAUGUCCACUGAAGCCUCAUUAGAAGUUGAGAAAACUUGGAAACAACUCGAAUGCUGUUUAGCAGAGGAUAGGCUAAACAAAUUACAACACGUCUGUACAGUGGACUGAAGCAGCAAACGGCGUUAUGUCUCUAAAUAUGAACAGGAAACAUAUUCAUUAUACAAUAAGUGAGAAAGACCAGUUGCAGGAUGGCACAGGUAUGAUGAUCUUGUUUCCAUAAAAACUAAAAAUAUACAUAUGCCUGUGCAUGCAUGGAAAAAUACAAGAGGAUAGGAAUUAAUUUGUGACCAGAGUUUGUCAGUGGGAGUUGGGAUUAUAGGAUAUUUUCUGUACAGUUGUGUAGAGUUGAUUUUUUCUUUUCUUUCUUUUUCUUUUCCUUUUCUUUUUUUUUUUUUUUUUUGAGACAGAGUCUUGCCGUAUCAUCCAGGCUGAAGUGCAAUGGCGUGAUCUUGGCUCACUGCACCCUCUGCCUCCUGGGUUCAAAUGAUUCUCCUGCCUCAGCCUCCAAAGUAGCUGGGAUUACAGGCACCUGCCAUCAUGCCUGGCAAAUUUUUGUAUUUUUAGUAGAGACAGGGUUUUGCCAUGUUGGUCAGCUGGUCUUGAACUCCUAACCUCUGGUGAUCCACCUGCCUCGGCCUCCCAAAAUGCUGCGAUUACAGACAUGAGCCACUGCGCCCAGCCUGAGUUGAUUUUUUUUUAAUAGACAUAUUAGUAAAAGAAAAAUAUACAGAAAAUAGUGAAAUUACGGGAAAUAUGGCAACUGUCUGACCUUCAUCCUAGAAAAACCCUGAUCAGUGUCCCUGUAUUGCAUCACAGGUACCAAAAUUGUAAUACAUCCUUCAUCAUGCUACUGUCCCAGUAAAAACCCCGAGCAUCUCUCAUUUCUUCCCUUCCACUCCAUCCUGGCUAAUUUACUGUCCACAAUUCACAGAGUAUUGUCUCCACUCUGCGCAGCCACAGAAUGGGUGUGGUAACGUCUCCAUGGCAUUUAUGGUUUCUACAAAUCACAAAUCACAUAUGAAGGGCUCCAAGAAUAUUAGAGGAAUGAGCCAGUUAACUCAGCGCCCAUGGGGGAGCUGGCAACUCCCCAAGAAAGCUGGACAUCUCCAAGCUGGCCACCAACAUUCUAUAGCCUCUCCAUGAGCAGGGUGGGAGCUGUGCUGGGUGCACAGUGCCAUGUCCACAGGUUGAUGUGAGGGGCACGUUCUAAAUCAAGUGCCUGAGAAGGGCUUCGGAGACCUAGAUCCUAUCCCUAAACAACUAUGGGACAGUGUACCGGUCACUUUCCCUUUCUGGGUUUCUGUUUUCACCUCUGUAAAAAAGAGUAAGGCUUGGUCAGUGUUUCUCAAAGCACUCUCCUUGGAAAACUACAUCUGGGAUAUGUUAUAAAUGUCCCUGAAGAGGCCUUUGUGGUAAAAUACACUUGAGAAAUGCAGCUCUCUGCAUCGUGCUCUUGGAGAUUUCCAAUGCAUAUUAGCAGGUUAGAGUCUCUGAGGUCUGGCAGUAAAUAAACUUACUUAUCAAUGCUUAUACCAGCAAUUCUCAUGUUUAUUUCACCUUGGCAUCCUUUAAGAUAUUUUUUUUCUGAGCAUCUUGGUUAUACAUACACUGAGUUAAGUGUUAUCCACAGUCACUGCUCGCUCCCUGAAUCCGUGACCACGA
rnacentral:lncRNA from 10 species